GCGUCUGUCGUAUAAUGGUCAUUAUUCCUGCCUUCCACCUAUUUGGAAACGGAAUAACUCGGUUAGCAGGAGACAGGGGUUCGAUUCCCCUCGGACGCA